rnacentral:rRNA from 1 species
ACGGGUGCGUAACGCGUAUGCAAUCUACCUUUUACAGGGGGAUAGCCCAGAGAAAUUUGGAUUAAUACCCCAUAGUAUAGUGAGUUGGCAUCAACACACUAUUAAAGUCACAACGGUAAAAGAUGAGCAUGCGUCCCAUUAGCUAGAUGGUAAGGUAACGGCUUACCAUGGCUACGAUGGGUAGGGGUCCUGAGAGGGAGAUCCCCCACACUGGUACUGAGACACGGACCAGACUCCUACGGGAGGCAGCAGUGAGGAAUAUUGGACAAUGGGCGCAAGCCUGAUCCAGCCAUGCCGCGUGCAGGAUGACGGUCCUAUGGAUUGUAAACUGCUUUUAUACGAGAAGAAACACUCCUUCGUGAAGGAAUUUGACGGUAUCGUAAGAAUAAGGAUCGGCUAACUCCGUGCCAGCAGCCGCGGUAAUACGGAGGAUCCAAGCGUUAUCCGGAAUCAUUGGGUUUAAAGGGUCCGUAGGCGGUCUAGUAAGUCAGUGGUGAAAGCCCAUCGCUCAACGGUGGAACGGCCAUUGAUACUGCUGGACUUGAAUUAUUAGGAAGUAACUAGAAUAUGUAGUGUAGCGGUGAA